GGGGAAUUAGCUCAAACGGUUAGAGCGCUUGCUUAGCAUGCAAGAGGUAGCAGGAUCGAUGCCUGCAUUCUCCA